GUUUCCUGAGGAUACGUCCAAAAUGACUCAUCUCGAAUAGCGUUGUGACUGAUGGUAUUUAAAUAUAAAUCCGAGACAAUGCUAUUCUUGUAAAGUCAUCUUGACCAAGCAACUUUUUCUAAU
rnacentral:precursor_RNA from 15 species